CUGCAGACAGAGGGACAGAGGGUGGUUGUGGGAGGAGCUUUGCUGGCGUUGAGCUGACGCUCACGGUGCUCCCGCGGAGAAUCCUGCCUCGGAGGUGGGACCCCUGUUGCUUCUCCCCCCUCAGCCUCCUGUCCUCCAUCAGCUCCUAGAGUCAGUCAGCUUGACACAGGUCAGUAUUACCUUCCCACAGACUGCAGCACGGCAGAUUUUCUUCCCUGAAAUCUUUGCAGAAGAUAUUCUGUAUCAAGCUUCUAAUUCAGGCUCUGUGCACGUUUACUGAUCACCUGCUACGCGGCACGCACUUUCUGGAGGACGGUCGAGGCGGGCGUGAGAGCGAGCCAAGCGGGGAGGUGGGCCACUCAAAGCAGGAUUAAGAUGUUGAAGGGACGCAGGGGCUUUGUGGAAUGACUGCAAGCUCAUGGUCUCCAUGGAAAGAGGUUACCUUAAUUUGGUCCCCUUUGCUGAAUAAGAGGCACUGAUCUGGCCAAAGGAAUUUCUUGACACAGGAAUG